rnacentral:rRNA from 1 species
AGUUCGAUUCUGGCUCAGAUUGAACGCUGGCGGGAUGCUGCAAGUCGAACGGCAGCACGGACUUCGGUCUGGUGGCGAGUGGCGAACAGGUGAGUAAUGUAUCGGAACGUGCCCUAGUAGCGGGGGAUAACUACGCCGAAAGCGUAGCUAAUACCAUACGCCCUUCGAAGAAAAGCAGGGGACCUUCGGGCCUCACGCGUAGAACGGCCGAUAUCGGAUUAGCUAGUUGGUGGAGUAACGGCUCACCAAGGCGACGAUCCGUAGCUGGUUUGAGAGGACGACCAGCCACACUGGGACUGAGACACGGCCCAGACUCCUACGGGAGGCAGCAGUGGGGAAUUUUGGACAAUGGAAACCUGAUCCAGCCAUCCCGCGUGUGCGAUGAAGGCCUUCCGGGUUGUAAAGCACUUUUGGCAGAAGAAACGGCACGGGAUAAUACCCCGUGCAACUGACGGUACACACAGAAUAAGCACCGGCUAACUACGUGCCAGCAGCCGCGGUAAUACGUAGGGUGCAAGCGUUAAUCGGAAUUACUGGGCGUAAAGCGUGCGCAGGCGGUUCGGAAAGAAAGAUGUGAAAUCCCAGAGCUUAACUUUGGAACUGCAUUUUUAACUACCGAGCUAGAGUGUGUCAGAGGGAGGUGGAAUUCCGCGUGUAGCAGUGAAAUGCGUAGUAGAUAUGCGGAGGAACACCGAUGGCGAAGGCGGCCUCCUGGGAUAACACUGACGCUCAUGCACGAAAAGCGUGGGGAGCAAACAGGAUUGAAUGCCCUGGUAGUCCACGCCCCAAACGAUGUCAACUAGCUGUUGGGGCCUUCGGGCCUUGGUAGCGCAGCUAACGCGUGAAGUUGACCGCCUGGGGGUACAGUCGCAAGAUUAAAACUCAAAGGUGACGGGGACACACAAGCGGUGGAUGAUGUGGAUUAAUUCGAUGCAACGCGAAAAACCUUACCUACCCUUGACAUGUCUGGAAUCCCGAAGAAGAGAUUUGGGAGUGCUCGCAAGAGAACCGGAACACAGGUGCUGCAUGGCUGUCGUCAGCUCGUGUCGUGAGAUGUUGGAGUUAAGUCCCGCAACGAGCGCAACCCUUGUCGUGGAUUGCUACGAAAGAGGCACUCUAAUGGGGCUGCCGGUGACAAACCGAGGAGGAAGAUGAGGAUGACGUCAGAGUCCUCAUGGCCCUUAUGGGUAGGGCUUCACACGUCAUACAAUGGUCAGGACAGAGGGUCGCCAACCCCGCGAGGACCAAUCCCAGGAAACCCGAUCGUAGUCCGGAUCGCAGUCUGCAACUCGACUGCGUGAAGUCGGAAUCGCUAGUAAUCGCGGAUCAGCAUGUCGCGGUGAAUACGUUCCGGGUCUUGUACACACCGCCCGUCACACCAUGGGAGUGGGUUUUACCGAAGUAGUUAGCCUAACCGUAAGGAGGGCGAUUACCACGGUAGGAUUCAUGACUGGGGUGAAGUCGUAACAAAGGUAG